GAAGUGCUCUCUCCAUUCGAAAAUACUUGUCAGAGAAAUGGACGUAUCUAGACAUAUUUAGUGUUAGAUAUAUGCAUUUUUAGUCAUUUCUAUGACAAGUAUUUCCGGACAGAGGAAGUAGUUU
rnacentral:pre_miRNA from 1 species